UACGUAGGGGGCAAGCGUUGUCCGGAUUUACUGGGCGUAAAGAGCGUGUAGGCGGCCAUACAGGUCCGUUGUGAAAACUGGAGGCUUAACCUUCAGACGUCGACGGAAACCGUGUGGCUAGAGUCCGGAAGAGGAGAGUGGAAUUCCUGGUGUAGCGGUGAAAUGCGCAGAUAUCAGGAAGAACACCAAUGGCGAAGGCAGCUCUCUGGGACGGUACUGACGCUGAGACGCGAAAGCGUGGAGAGCGAACAGG
rnacentral:rRNA from 1 species